CUAUACACACAGUGUGCAGCUUGGCUGUAAGGAGUGGGUGCUUGCAAGGCAUCAGUGGGCCCAUGAAAAUGAGCUUCCCACCACUUGCUGUGCUAUGCUUGCUGGCUUGGUUUGUCGCAUUCAACAUUGAAUAAUGCUGGUGCCUGCCUAUGAAGGUAUGGUGUACAGAGCAGAGAAACAACACAGGGGAGAGGCUAUCUCAGCAUCCCAGAUGAGUUGCCCAACUUGCUACCUAAUUCUUCUGAGAAUGUUAAUCCAGAUGAUCUCAUUGGUCCACCAAGCAACAACCCUCUUUCCAGUCCCUAGUUGAGACUCACUUCUUCAGUUGUGCCCUCAAGAAAUGAGCAAACAAUUAUAUCUACGUUACUCCGGGGGGGAAUUCUGUGCCAAAAAAUUAUGCGCACAAUAUUUUAAAAUUCUGCAAAAUUCU